rnacentral:rRNA from 1 species
GUAGGUGGCAAGCGUUGUCCGGAAUUAUUGGGCGUAAAGCGCGCGCAGGUGGUUCUUUAAGUCUGAUGUGAAAGCCCACGGCUCAACCGUGGAGGGUCAUUGGAAACUGGAGAACUUGAGUAUAGAAGAGGAAAGCGGAAUUCCACGUGUAGCGGUGAAAUGCGUAGAGAUGUGGAGGAACACCAGUGGCGAAGGCGGCUUUCUGGUCUGUAACUGACGCUGAGGCGCGAAAGCGUGGGGAGCAAACAGGAUUAGAUACCCUGGUAGUCCACGCCGUAAACGAUGAGUGCUAAGUGUUAGGGGGGUUUCCGCCCCCCUUGGUGCUGCAGCUAACGCAUUAAGCACUCCGCCUGGGAGUACGGCCGCAAGGCUG